GGGGAUUUAGCUCAGCAGCAUAAGCGCCUGCCUCGCAAGCAGAAGGUCGUGAGUUCAAUCCCCG
rnacentral:tRNA from 1 species